rnacentral:rRNA from 1 species
ACGCUGGCGGCGUGCCUAAUACAUGCAAGUCGAGCGGACCAAAGGGAGCUUGCUCCUGGAGGUUAGCGGCGAACGGGUGAGUAACACGUGGGCAACCUGCCUGUAAGACUGGGAUAACAUCGAGAAAUCGGUGCUAAUACCGGAUAAUAAAAAGAACUGCAUGGUUCUUUUUUGAAAGAUGGUUUCGGCUACCACUUACAGAUGGGCCCGCGGCGCAUUAGCUAGUUGGUGAGGUAACGGCUCACCAAGGCGACGAUGCGUAGCCGACCUGAGAGGGUGAUCGGCCACACUGGGACUGAGACACGGCCCAGACUCCUACGGGAGGCAGCAGUAGGGAAUCUUCCGCAAUGGACGAAAGUCUGACGGAGCAACGCCGCGUGAGUGAUGAAGGUUUUCGGAUCGUAAAACUCUGUUGUUAGGGAAGAACAAGUGCCGUUCGAAAGGGCGGCACCUUGACGGUACCUAACGAGAAAGCCACGGCUAACUACGUG